rnacentral:misc_RNA from 1 species
UAUCCGUAGGUGAACCUGCGGAGGGAUCAUUACAGAGUUUUUGCCCGCAAGGGUAGAUCUCCCACCCUAUGUUAUUCCUUCUCUGUUGCUUUGGCGGGCCGUCCGGCCUCGGUCAGGCCACCGGCUCCGGCUGGUGCGCGCCCGCCAGAGGACCCCAAACCCUAAAUGUCAGUGUCGUCUGAGUACUAUAUAAUAGUUAAAACUUUCAACAACGGAUCUCUUGGUUCUG